rnacentral:rRNA from 1 species
GGUAUUUUGACUAUACGAAGGUAUUGAAAUAAGGCUUUAAUUGAGUGCUAAGAGAAUGGUUAAACAAGGAUUAACUUUCUUUUUGUUUAUAAUGUAAGUUGAUUUAAAAAUGAAAAAGUUUUUAUGAAUUUUUGGGACAAGAAGACCCUAUGAAUUUUUUUUUGAAAAAUAUUUAUAAUUUUUUAUAAAGUUAAGUAAAAUAUUGUUUGAAAUUAAUUGGGGCGAUUUUUAAAGAUUAUAAAUCUUUAAAGUUGGGUGGAAUUAGAACCAAAACUUUUGGUUUUUUGAAUAAAAUACUCUAGGGAUAACAGCGUUAUUAUUUUGGAUAGUUCAUAUAGAUAAAAUAGUUUGCGACCUCGAUGUUGGAUUAAGAUACUUUUGUGAUGUAGCAGUUACAAGGGGAAGUUUGCUCAACUUUUAAAAUCUU